AAUCGCGCCGGCGUGCUUCCAGCUUGCUGUCCCGCAGGCUGCCUUUAGGGGCAGGCUGGAGGCCCGCGCCACCCCCUCCCGAUCGUCUUAGCCUCUGCUGUGGGCCGGGACGUUUUUCCUUAGCACCUUGGCCGCAGGUCUCAGGUCCUAGGCGGGUGGGGCGGGGUGGGCUGCGUUUCCCUUUGCUCGGUGCCAAGGGUACCCUGCAUCCCGCGCCUCUGGCUUCUGCACAUUUCCAAACCUUCUUGCUGCGCUUAGCAUUCCCUCCUACCCCCUUCCCGCCUUCCCUUUGUGUUCCUAGACACAAAGUUUCAUUUAGGGUCCGAGUUUGCAGGAGGUCGUCAGGAGGCAUCGUGUCUGCAGUCUGAGCUGAGGAGUUGAGGCAGCACGACUGACCUGCCACCUUGCCUUUGUUGCAAGGGGGAGGAGCCCUGAGCUUUGAAACUGGACAAGCUCUCAGGAGGUCCCUUUGACGGUUAGGUUUGCACACUGAGUCCUGGGCCUGGGUGGUGGUAGGGCCCCCUGGCCCCUCUUCCUAAGGUGGCUUUUACUCCCGCCCUUUACUGGUAAAAUUCCCAGUAGGACAGUUGGCAGACGAGCUGGGCAGGGAGCUGCCAACCAGACCUGGCCCUGUUUCCUGGGUUCCUAGGGUGCUGACUUCUCCCCUACCUCCACUUCCUCUCCCACCUUAGAGCCCCAAGUGAUGGCACCAUCUCUCCUGUCCCGUCUUCCUCAGGCGGGUUGGGACUCGCAGAGCGAUCUAACAAGCAGAGGAGGAAAAUAACAACAGAAUAACUGUAAAGGGAAGGAAUGAGUAAUAAAGCCAACCCAGGCAGGGAGGAGGGCUUUCAUGUUUAAGAGAUGCUAUUUGCUUUUUAGGUCAUAGGCUGCAAAAACAGGCUUUGAUCCGAAGUGGGCGAAUAAUUUAUUGAGAAAGUUUGCGUGGUAGGGAAGAAAAGGGAUGUUUGUUUGAUCUGGAGGCCUCUCGGUUGUCCCAAGUGCUGUUGGCUGUUGUUUCGAGUGGAAAAGCAUUUGGUUCCACAGCAAAUGCCUCCCGGAGGGAAGUCCUUGCCCCAGGCAGCAAGAGCAGUGAAUGUUGGUUUUGAAACUGUUUAGCCAAGGGUCUCCCCAGCACUUUUGGAGCUGAAGUGUUUAAGAGUCGAGUUGUUUGGGCUCAGGAUGCAGCAAAUAUUUCCAGAACAUUUCCCAUCUAACAUGCUUUUCCUUUCCCUAAAUUGCCUGGCUAAACAGCCAAUAGCCCUGAUCCAAGAGGCUGUCGGAAGUCUCCACUUAGCUUUCAUUGACAGCUGAGGUGGCACUGCUGACCCCCAGCCCCCAGGUCCUCUCAGAAUCUUGAGGUCAGGCUUUCAACCCUGGUUUCCACGUUCUUGAGGUUGAGCGCAGGGUAUUCUGGUGAAUCGCUGUGCCCGUUAACGCCGAGGUACUUGUCUUUACAGCCAAGAACCAAGUCAGAGGCUUCCAGUCCAAAUUCUUCCCAGCUUAUCCAGCAGGCAGGCUCUUUGUGGACCUCACAGUUCUCCCUUUGGGUUCUCUGCCGGAAGGCCAGGGCAGAGUUGGGGGGCAGGGGGCUGCCUGGCUUGUCCUGUCCUCCACACGGGAACGUCACUGCGUAGCUCAGCGUUCAGGAACCCAAGAGGGUUCUCAGACAAUCCACAGGAAUCCGGAGUAGCCCAGCCAGAUUCUGGUUUCGUAGGCCUGUGCACUGCACACUCUGGCCCCUGCGGGGGUGGGGUGGAGGCGGGGAGGGGGGGCCCACAACGUUAUUUGGGGUCAGGCAGUCUAGCUUUGAAUGCUGGCUUUGCAGUCACCAGCUGCGGCAGUUGCUCCAUGCCUCAAUUUCUCCAUCUGCGCUUGGGCCUGAUAACAAUACCUCUCUCGUGGUGGGUGUCUGGAUUAAGUGCUACGUUGCAAGAAGAAGACUAAACCCGAAGCCAGGCCUGUGGUAAGCACUUGGCUUGGCUAGGCCAGAGAGCCAGCUCCCUUCUCUAAAGAAGGGAUCAGAGGACCCUGCACUUGCCAAUGGGCAGCCAUCCGUGGGAGCGAGCGGACUGAACUUUGCCCUCUCUGAGGUGGAAAGUAGGGUGAGACGGUGCCAAAGGACAAAGUAGACAAAGCCCAUUUCUGUCUCCCAGGAUCCCCUUGGUAUGUCCCCAGAACUGGGAGCAGAGGGUGGGUGUGGGCAUAGUGUUCGAGGGAUCUGGGUGCCCCUUGGGACACUUGCAGUGGGCAGUGAUGGGUGUUGGAGGAGGGCUCAGGCUCCCCUGUGCGUGCGGAAGCAAAUCUGAGCAUCUGUGUGUCACGAACUCAUUUUUGCCACGGCAGCUAGUGUCCCUGAGAAGGCGUUAAAGUUAACAAGAGAUAGGAAAGAGUGGGGCUCUGACCCCCGUUUUUUAUACAGCUUUAAGAGUGUGCCACUCUUGUUUUCUGAACGUCUGGCCUUCCCGACUCAAGCAGGCUCUGAGGACGGGUUUUCCAGCCGAAAUAUCAUUAAAUUGUAUUAGCAUCUUAUUACACACACGCCUUAGCGGUCUGCCUCAGACAGGGAGAGUUUUUGUUUCUCUUUGAAAGAUUGUGUCUGGAAUGGUAAAUUGCCUGCUUGAAAGCCUCCCCCUGCUCCCCCCUUCUAAGGAGGAGGACGAAAUCCUGCUGUGUGUGGUGGCAGGCGGGUAGGCCUGGUGGCCCCCAGAGAGGAGAGGCCGGAGGCCAGGUUGGGGUGUUUUAACUGCCCAGGGAGCUGCUGCAGUCGCAGGCCUGAAAGGCCCACUGUUUCCAGGGUCAGCUGGAAGGGCGUUCAUGGAGGCCCAGGGUGUUUAUUUGAGUUUAUUUGCGGAGAGGUCUUUAAAGGGGGCUGGCAUUGGGCAUGGGUAUUGCAAGUCCAGACCCGAGGCCCCCACUCAGACCAGUGGCCAGUGCUGCCAAGAAAACAUCUGCCACCAAAUUGCUGCCCUAUUACUGAGUUGACAUUGAUCAUUAGCCAGGAGCCCAACCAAAUAAAGCCUCCUGGAAAAUGUGUGAGGUUAAGAUGGGGAAGGCAGGCUGUGCAAACAGGACAAAAUGUUGAGCCGGGGUGUUUGCUCCCGCAAGCGGCGAGCAGGCCGACUGGGCUCUGUUGCCCCACACUUCCAGAGGGUGGGGACAGGAGCACACCCAGCACGCCAUGUGUACCAAGCCCCUUUUAUACGCUGGGUGCAACUCCAGGGGGCACUGGGGUGCCAGCAGGGAUCCAAAUGGUUGUGCUUUUUACUGUGGCGGAAUGUACAUUCCCAAGGAGGACAUUCAACAAGUAGAUCAACAAACACAGAUUGUGACGGUUGUUCUGAAGAAGCUGAGUAACAGGGCGGUGGGCUUUCCGUAAAUAAAGCAGCUGGCAUCAACCUCUGUGCCAUCUGAGCUGAAACUUGAAGAAUGGAGAGUCAGACGGGCCUAGACUGCAUGGAAUAUGACAGGCAGAGCGCACACCUGAGCACAGGUCUUGAACCCAUGGACUCUUGGAUUGUUAGAGGGAGGCCAGUUUCGCUGGGAAAGGGAGUGGUGGUCAGUACGCAGGAGCCAGGGGCCGGGUCAUGUGGGGUCUUAUGGUCAGAAGCUGGAGUGUUGUCUUUUGAUCAGCAGGAAGCCUUUGAAGGAUUUUAAAUAGGGCAUGACAUGAUCUGAUUCAUGCUUUUUGAAGAUCAUUCAGGCUGCUGUCUGCCUUUGUGGGGUAGGGUUUCAGGAGCACUUUUCUGUCCCUCUAAGCAGGCACCUUGUGACCCUGAGGGCUUCUCCCGUAGCAGACCUUUGCUUUGGGAGAGAUUGGAGGAGCCAGGGGAGGGAAACCAGAGGUGGGGACCGAAUCUCGGCACUCCCUCUCCCAGCUGCAUGUGCAGCCCGGGAUGUGCAGCUUUGGGAAAAGAAUCCUCCCCGACCCCUCUGCUGGGUUGGAGACGGGGUCCCAGGGGCAAAGGGCUGUCCCACAGGGGAGCUCAGACCUCCUGAGGGGCUUUUUAGCCACUGGCAGUAGAGGCUCACCUGAGGCAGGGAGGCCUUUGGAACAGACUUGUUUCAAAGGAAAGCAGCAAAGCGGUGGCUUCCCUCUGAAACCUAGUUAUUAUUCCAAUUAAGCCACCACAAAAUCUGUUCCUUUAAUAACACCCUGCCCGGGAGGACUCUGGGGUGUUUCACGGAGGGCAGGUUGGACAGGGAGCUGGCUGGGGGGGGGGGGGCAGGUCUGCACGCCGACAGGUUACUGGUCCUGGGCAGCAGGAACCCGCGUGACGAGCAGGGCAGUGGCAGGCAAGGUGUCCCGCCGUGGGGCACCUUCCUCACCAUACAGGCCCGCUGCCUCACUGAGGAGCCCACCCUCAGGUGGGCCCUGGUCAGAGGACUGCCCUCCCGGCCUGAGUCGGCCGUGGUGUUAAUAACCAGCACCCAUACGGGGUGCCAACCGCUGUGCUAAGGGUUUUAUGCGGCUCUCACUUACUCACCAGCUGAUUCUGGCCCACGAAUGUGUUUAGUUUGGCCCUGUCGAAGUGUUUGAAAAAUCCUGAAUCAGUUGCCAACAUUUUAAGUUCAGGAGAUGUAUGUAAAAAUCCAGAUCCAGUUUGUGUCCUUUGGGAGGUGUGUCUGGUGCGGAGUGAAGGUGGGAUUGAACUUGACCUCCCUGAAUCCAGAGCUGCUGCUUUUAAGCCAUGGGAGAGCCUGGCUUGGAAGCGCCCUGUUUGCUGGAAGUGGAGAGGCAAGCAGUUCAGGGAGAGGAUUGCAGGGGAAACAGGGAGAGCAUUGCAGGGGAAACAGGGAGAGCAUUGCAGGGGAAACAGGUGCGUGCAUUUCGAGCACCUCUUCCUCCACUCCUGCCCCGCCUGUGACAGGGCUGUGUUGGCCACAUGUAGGCAAGGGUCAGAGUUGUGUUAAAGUCACCUCUGUCCCCUCAAGCCCCGGAGGACAGCAAAGAUGGGCACCUGUGGGUGGCAGAACAUUAUUGCCCCAUGCAGUCCGUGACCUGAGCCGCCGGCUGCAGCACGGAGGCAGAGGAGUCGAAAGGUCAGGAGCCCGGUCUCCUAAGGCGGACUUCUCCCGAGCACUAUUUUCCUGGCUCAGUCACUUUACUUCUGAAUUUCAUUUUCUUCUCCUGUGAGAGAGAAGCAGCCAUCAUGCCUGGCAGCACCAAAAGGCUGUUCUGAGGUCUCGGUGAGGGGAGGUCUCUUCGUAUCAGCACGCCCUUCUCCCCAAGCCGUGGGCGUGUAGCAAUUUGAGCCCUCUUUCCUGCCUCCCCGACGGCCGCGGUGCUCCGCGCCCAGUAUCCCUCUACCUCCACACCCUCCACGGAGCCCAUGGCCUGCAUCCUUGGAGCUGGGCAGUGAGCAGCCCCAACGAGCCUUCCUGUCCUCCUGAGCCUGCUGCUGGGGGACCCGGGCGGAGAGAAGCUCCUGGUUAAGGUCAAGUUCGAGGCAGGAGGGUCUUUCUAGGUAGCUCAGCGUUCUGAGUGGUCAUACCCCACCUUAGAGAGCCAGUGCUCUCCGGUUUCUGCAAGGCCACAGUAAAAUAAGGUGAGUCCCAGGGCUUGGCAGAAGCAGACUUGGGGUGACAGCAGGUGGCAAAUGAGAUUCUGAGGCGGGGAGGAGCCCGGCCGGCCCGCCACUGGGAUGAGCCCUGCGGCCUUCUCCCCACUGCCACGGGCUCCGUGUCCUUCGCUGUGGACAGUGAGGCAACCCCGUUCCAGACAGGAUCAUGGAGGAAAGCUCUCUGGGCCCCGAGCCCCAGCUCUGUUCUCCCACUUGGACUUAGCCACUGACGAGCUGUGAGACCUGGGAGCGGGUUACCAAGCCAUUCAGUGGGCUCCCCUCCCAGAGGGCACAAGGGCAGGCUCUGCCACCCAGGCCUCGGCAGGAUUAGGGGAAAUAGUGGGUGGGAAAGCACUUCCAACAGGCAGGAGCUGACAAGGGCACAAAGGCAGCUCAGUGUGGACUCGGGGAUCAGACCACGUGGAUUCAAAUCCCAGUUCAGCCAGUCAUGGGCAGGACAAGGCACCGAGCCUCCUCAGCAAAUGAGGCUGAGAGCUCACACCUCACUGGGUCGUUAGGAACAUGAGCCGGCCUGGCCGCGUGCGUGGGGAAGGGCUCCGUGUGGGCGGGCUGCCCUUCCUUCCCUGAAGCUCAGUACUCUGGUGGAGAUAAAGUUGGUCUGUGCUUUUACCUGGAGAAGGACACUGGGGAGAGAGGAGGCCGGCCAGCCCUGUCACCCUGGGCCCGGUGUCUCGGGGACCCAGCUUAGAGCCUCCCUGCCACCACCCCAUUCCACUGCCCUCAGGCUGCCCCUUUCAGGAUGUGGCCUCAGUGCUGUCUGGGCUAGCUUGUCCCCUGCCCCAGAUUCCUGGUCCUCCCGGAAGAAUCAGCCUUGUGCCCUGUGCCCUCCCUGCUCGGCACCCAGCUGGGCACCCUUUGGGGUGGAUCCUCUGGUGGGCCUGAGCGGCCUUGAGUAGAAGCUGCAACUGCUCUGAGUUCCCGUCGUGGCUCAGUGCUUAAAGAAGCUGACUGUGACCCAUGAGGGUGCGGGUUCGAUCUCUGGCCUCAGUAGGUUAAGGAUCUGGCAUUGCCGUGAGCUGUGGUAUAGGUCGCAGACACGGCUUGGAUCUGGCGUUGCUGUGGCUGUGGUGUAGGCCAGCGUCUACAGCUCCGAUUCGACCCCUAGCCU
rnacentral:lncRNA from 1 species